GGGGUUGUGGCUCAGUUGAUAAAGUGCUUGCAUAGCAUGUAUGAGGCACUGGGUUCAAUUCUCAGCACCACA
rnacentral:tRNA from 1 species